CACAGUGAAAUUUGAAAAGACUGAUUCUGAUGAUUACACACACGGUUAUGAAGAAGUACAAAACAGCAGCGGUACACAAAAUGCAUCGAAUGAAAACAAAGAUCAAAGCCCGACUAAACAUUAUGGACACUUGGUCUGCAAGAUGUCCCAAAUGCAUAUGACGGUUUGAGCAAUAAAGCGCCACAGGCGAACAUGCAUCUUAGCCCUUUAAGAAAUUAUGAAGAACUUGGUCUGAAAGACGCCCCUAAAGUGUAUGACGAUUUAACUAGUAAAGGUAAUUUUACAAUUACAUUUAUAGAAUUGAUCAUAUCAAAAGUUAUCAUUAACAAAAAGGAAAAUGUCAUUCUUUAAUAUUUAACAUAAAUUAAAUAAAAAGUUAAGUUUUGGACUAGACCAUUAAAAGAAAUAUGAACAUUUUUUUCUUUUAAUCUUGUUCAGUCAGCGACCAAUACAUAGAGCCUCCAUCCUAAACAUUAAACGAUUUAUGUUCUUCCUGUUCAAACAUAUCCCAGAUUUAUAUCUGUAGGUCAUCUAAUACAUGAAACAAGUAUUCCAAAUUUAAUUAGAUAUUUGCUAUUUAAGACAGACAGCUAGAUACCAUAAACAUACUAUGUAUACACAGGCCAGAGUCCGAGCUUGAUUUGCUAUAUGAUAUAAAAACUAAACUGACGAAAAAAGGUCAU